rfam:Myotis davidii contig322849, whole genome shotgun sequence.
GGAGGUUCUAGGGUGACGAACCCCGGAGUCAGGCUCCCUCCUCUCUGGUUCUGGGGUGCGUUAUUCGAGAACCCCU